CGGAUCGGAGUCUGCAACCCGACUCCGUGAAGCUGGAUUCGCCAGUAAUCGCGCAUCAGCCAUGGCGCGGUGAAUACGUUCCCGGGCCUUGUACACACCGCCCGUCAAGCCAUGGAAGCCGGGGGCGCUUGAAGUGCGUUGCCGCAAGGCGUGCCCUAGAGCGAAACCGGUGACUGGGGCUAAGUCGUAACAAGGUACC
rnacentral:rRNA from 1 species